rnacentral:rRNA from 1 species
CAGUCGCCGCGGUAAUACGAAGGGGGCUAGCGUUGCUCGGAAUGACUGGGCGUAAAGGGCGCGUAGGCGGAUUGUUUAGUUAGGCGUGAAAUUCCUGGGCUUAACCUGGGGACUGCGCUUAAUACAGGCAGUCUAGAGUGAGGAAGAGGGUUGUGGAAUUCCCAGUGUAGCGGUGAAAUGCGUAGAGAUCGGGAGGAACAUCAGUGGCGAAGGCGGCCAUCUGGGACAAUAACUGACGCUGAUGCACGAAAGCUAGGGGAGCAAACAGGAUUAGAUACCCCAGUAGUCCCUGUCUCUUAUA